rnacentral:rRNA from 1 species
GACGAACGCUGGCGGCGUGCCUAACACAUGCAAGUGGAGCGACGAACCAGGCUUCGGCCUGGGGCAAAGCCGCGAACGGGUGAGUAACACGUGGGUAACCUGCCCUGAUGAUUGGGACAACCCGAGGAAACUCGGGCUAAUACCGAAUGUGCCCUCCGGCCUCAAGGCCGCUGGGGAGAGGAAGCUUCGGCCUCCGCAUCGGGAUGGGCCCGCGGCCCAUUAGCUUGUUGGUGAGGUAACGGCUCACCAAGGCGACGAUGGGUAGCUGGUCUGAGAGGACGAUCAGCCACACUGGGACUGAGACACGGCCCAGACUCCUACGGGAGGCAGCAGUGGGGAAUCUUGCGCAAUGCGCGAAAGCGUGACGCAGCAACGCCGCGUGGGGGAAGAAGG